rnacentral:lncRNA from 1 species
UUUUAUUUUGACUUCAGUCCAACCUACAUUGGAUGCGGUCUUAUUUGUCCACACAUUGUUAACUGCUCUACACUUCUUGGUGCCAUCAUAUCGUGGGGUUUCCUUUGGCCAUAUAUAUCAACAAAAGCUGGGGACUGGUAUCCAGCUAACCUAGGAAGCAAUGACUUCAAAGGACUUUAUGGAUACAAGGUGUGGUGAUUGAAAGUUUUAUUUGUUACAUGCCAUUGGUUAAUGCUUCUUUCCAUACUUCAUUUUGACAGUCAACUAGUAAUCUUCUUUAUUCAAUUGUUCUAGAGGCAAUGAAUCACAAGGCAUGAAUGAUAAAAGGAAAUAGUUUUUCUUCUCUCCAUGCUUAUAAACCUUAAAAUCUAAAAGAAAUUUUGGCUGCUGAUGUGAUCCUAGAGUAAUCAAUGUUUCAUUGGUGGACAUAGUGUUGGUGAGAACCGUGAAAUUUGGUUCAAGACUGAUAACUCAGUGCUGAAAGCAUAGAGUGUCUAGUCAGCCUUACAUCUUAAUUGUAUUUGUUAUGCAUUUAUAUAGUGAAAUAACUUAUGGAUAGCAUAUCUAGCUCAUUUAGUUCCUAGAGAAUUUUUGGUUUACAUGGUGAUCACUGAUCAGUCUUCACAACUUUAGUUCACCAACAUUAAGCUGUAUUUCUUCCCUGUGUUCCAGGUUUUUAUAUCUGUAUCUGUGAUACUUGGGGAUGGUCUCUAUAAUCUCAUCAAGAUCAUUUAUGCUACUAUCAAGGAAAUAAUGAAUGCACGGGCGAAGCAAGGAAGACUUCC